GCCGCCGUAGCUCAGGGGUAGAGCACACCCUUGGUAAGGGUGGGGUCGCAAGUUCGAUUCUUGCCGGCGGCACCA
rnacentral:tRNA from 1 species